GAAGGGUGCAAGCGUUAAUCGGAAUUACUGGGCGUAAAGCGUGCGUAGAUGGUUCAUUAAGUCGGAUGUGAAAGCCCCGGGCUCAACCUGGGAACUGCAUCCGAUACUGGUGGACUAGAGUGCGGUAGAGGAUGGCGGAAUUCCCGGUGUAGCGGUGAAAUGCGUAGAGAUCGGGAGGAACAUCCGUGGCGAAGGCGGCCAUCUGGACCAGCACUGACGUUGAGGCACGAAAGCGUGGGGAGCAAACAGGAUUAGAUACCCUGGUAGUCCACGCCCUAAACGAUGUCGACUGGAUGUUGGGUGCAACUUGGCACUCAGUAUCGAAGCUAACGCGUUAAGUCGACCGCCUGGGGAGUACGCGCGCAAGCGUG
rnacentral:rRNA from 1 species